rnacentral:rRNA from 1 species
ACGCUGGCGGCGCGCUUAACACAUGCAAGUCGAACGAGAAAGGGAGCAAUCCUGAGUAAAGUGGCGUACUGGUGAGUAACACGUGGAUAUCUACCUCUUGGUGGGGAAUAACCUGGGGAAACCUGGGCUAAUACCGCAUAAGUUCGUGAGAAGAAAGGCGCAAGUCGCCGAGAGAGGAGUCCGCGGUCGAUUAGGUAGUUGGCAGGGUAAAAGCCUACCAAGCCGAAGAUCGACAGCCGGCCUGAGAGGGCACACGGCCACACUGGCACUGAAACACGGGCCAGACUCCUACGGGAGGCAGCAGUGGGGAAUCUUGCACAAUGGGGGCAACCCUGAUCCAGCAAUGCCGCGUGAGUGAAGAAGGCCUUCGGGUUGUAAAGCUCUUUUGUCAGGGAAGAAAAGGUCGUGGCUAAUAUCCACGACUGCUGACGGUACCUGAAGAAUAAGCACCGGCUAACUCCGUGCCAGCAGCCGCGGUAAUACGGAGGGUGCAAGCGU